rnacentral:rRNA from 1 species
ACGGGUGAGUAACGCGUGGGAAUCUACCCAGUUCUACGGAACAACUGAGGGAAACUUCAGCUAAUACCGUAUACGCCCUAUGGGGGAAAGAUUUAUCGGAAUUGGAUGAGCCCGCGUAAGAUUAGCUAGUUGGUGGGGUAAUGGCCUACCAAGGCGACGAUCUUUAGCUGGUCUGAGAGGAUGAUCAGCCACACUGGGACUGAGACACGGCCCAGACUCCUACGGGAGGCAGCAGUGGGGAAUAUUGGACAAUGGGCGCAAGCCUGAUCCAGCCAUGCCGCGUGAGUGAUGAAGGCCUUAGGGUUGUAAAGCUCUUUCAGUGGGGACGAUAAUGACGGUACCCACAGAAGAAGCCCCGGCUAACUUCGUGCCAGCAGCCGCGGUAAUACGAAGGGGGCUAGCGUUGUUCGGAUUUACUGGGCGUAAAGCGCACGUAGGCGGAUCGUUAAGUCGGGGGUGAAAUCCUGGAGCUCAACUCCAGAACUGCCUUCGAUACUGGCGAUCUUGAGUCCGGAAGAGGUGAGUGGAACUCCUAGUGUAGAGGUGGAAUUCGUAGA